GUAAGAAGACCCACUGUUGCCCUUUAACUCCAUCCCUUCUUCCAAUCACCGACGACUCUUCCCUUUCUAGUUUCAAAUUCCCAUUCUUCCUUAAAUCACUCAUCGACGGAAAAACUCCAUUCGCCAUUGUAAUUAGAAGUAAAGACUAAAAACGGAAACUCACCAUCACAACCUAUUUAGAAGUAAAGAUCAUAAAUUGAAACCGAUAAGGUUCGAACCACCAGUUCCACCCUCUUCGUCGCUGUGAAUUUGAUAUUGUUCGAUUUUAGUGUAGAGAUAAACAUUCAAAUAUGAUAUGGUUCGAUUUCGAUUUUGCAUCUUAUUUUCAAUUGCUUAACAUAGAUUUUGAGUUCCCUUUAAUGUGGUUCCCGAUUUGUUUAAUAUGAGUUCAACUAGGUUUAACCUGGUGAAGAUAUGGAUGUGUAAUGGUUCAUCGAUUUGUUUUUUAGGAAUGUUGGUUUUGUUAGACUACUGAACAAGGUAUGAUAUGCUUGUCUAUGUUAGUUUUUCUGAACUACUUUUGGUGUAUAAAUAAGAAACUAAAAAUGACAGUGAUGAGUGGUGAUUGAAGAGGGUGGGAAGGGAAGAGGUAUUGAUGGUGUUUGAUUUGAUAAGGGGUGCCAUGGGAGAAAAGGUGGUGGUCGGAGGCUUUGGGAUAUCAUGAUACAGAAAGCGAUGAAGGUGGACGGAUGGACUAAAAUGGAAAAUGAAAAAAAAUACAGGGACCAUCUAUGUAAUUUUGUUUUGCUUAAAACGCUACACGCUUCCUGAACCCUCGAGCACAACUAAACCCUAGAGAUUCCGUCGCCGAAACCGGUUCUUCCUGUCGCAGACUCCAUAACAGAGCACCGAAGGCUCAUGUAGCCUUGCGAGUCUGUUCAGGACAUUGAUUCCUGGAUGCGGCAUCUUUUUGCUGCAAUUUAUAUGCUUCGGUUUAGCAUAACAAGAGCAUAUGCAUACUUUCCUUUUUAUAUUUGCUUCCAUUUUGUUGACCUAAUCAUGUAAUUAUUUCAACAUCCCCAUGAUGAAAUAUUUAGUAAUCUGAAUGUGUACAUGUUAUUGGAAAUGUGGUGCUCCCUUCUGCUUCCUAUAAGCAUAAGGUAGAGGAAUCACAAUUUCACAACUACAUGUCAGGCUGAUAAUAGGCAUUCUGAGGGAUAUACAUAUAUCUAUCAUAUCUUAUGGUAUUCUGCCUUUUAUUGUAUUUAAAAUCAGGAUUCUUAUAAUUGUAGUUAUUUAUCUAUUCAUUGUUGUUGCAACCUUUUCCUAGAUUCUAGGCUAUGGUAAUGUAAGUGAUUUGCUAAAAAAGCAUAUCAUUUUUGUGUAUAUGACAAAAAAUGUUGUGUUGAAUCAACUUCGUUUCUGUAUUUUCUC